AUGCCUCGCACCCAAUCUUCUCCGGCGAGAUCCGUCGAUCAUCGGGGUCAGAGCUUGGUGCUGCUGUUGCACUGGUGGCUCUGGACGCGCAUCUCCAUGACGGCGACCUCGAGCCUGCACUCGGAGUAUGCCACGGCGCGGCGCCUGAACACGCCGAACAGCAGCACCGUGCCGGGGACGGUGGUGGCGGAUUCCAGCGGCAUCGCCCGGCUCUCCACGUCCUCGGCCAGCUGCCUCGCGCCCCCGGCGGCGGCGAACCGGUCCGCCUCCAGCGUGAGCGCGACCCGGACCUCCGCGUCCCCGCGGCUCGGGACGGCGCCCGGGUCGAUCUCGGCGUCCCCGACGUGGGCGCCGCGGUAG
rnacentral:rRNA from 1 species